rnacentral:rRNA from 1 species
GACGGAAGGUGCAAGCGUUGCUCGGAAUCACUGGGCGUAAAGGGCGCGUAGGCGGCCACCGCAAGUCGACUGUGAAAUCUCCGGGCUUAACCCGGAAAGGUCAGCCGAUACUGCGGGGCUAGAGUGCAGAAGGGGCAACUGGAAUUCUCGGUGUAGCGGUGAAAUGCGUAGAUAUCGAGAGGAACACCUGCGGCGAAGGCGGGUUGCUGGGCUGACACUGACGCUGAUGCGCGAAAGCUAGGGGAGCGAACGGG